rnacentral:rRNA from 1 species
GGCUCACCAAGGCGACGAUCUGUAGCGGGUCUGAGAGGAUGAUCCGCCACACUGGAACUGAGACACGGUCCAGACUCCUACGGGAGGCAGCAGUGGGGAAUUUUGGACAAUGGGGGCAACCCUGAUCCAGCCAUGCCGCGUGAGUGAAGAAGGCCUUCGGGUUGUAAAGCUCUUUCGGCCGGGAAGAAAUCGCAUGGGUUAAUACCCUGUGCGGAUGACGGUACCGGCAUAAGAAGCACCGGCUAACUACGUGCCAGCAGCCGCGGUAAUACGUAGGGUGCGAGCGUUAAUCGGAAUUACUGGGCGUAAAGCGUGCGCAGGCGGUUUUGUAAGACAGGCGUGAAAUCCCCGGGCUCAACCUGGGAACUGCGCUUGUGACUGCAAGGCUAGAGUAUGGCAGAGGGGGGUGGAAUUCCACGUGUAGCAGUGAAAUGCGUAGAGAUGUGGAGGAACACCAAUGGCGAAGGCAGCCCCCUGGGCCAAUACUGACGCUCAUGCACGAAAGCGUGGGUAGCAAACAGGAUUAGAUACCCUGGUAGUCCACGCCCUAAACGAUGUCAACUAGGUGUUGGGUGGGUAAAACCAUUUAGUACCGGAGCUAACGCGUGAAGUUGACCGCCUGGGGAGUACGGCCGCAAGGUUAAAACUCAAAGGAAUUGACGGGGACCCGCACAAGCGGUGGAUGAUGUGGAUUAAUUCGAUGCAACGCGAAAAACCUUACCUACCCUUGACAUGUCCAGGAGCCUGAAGAGAUUUGGGUGUGCCCGAAAGGGAACUGGAACACAGGUGCUGCAUGGCUGUCGUCAGCUCGUGUCGUGAGAUGUUGGGUUAAGUCCCGCAACGAGCGCAACCCUUGUCGUUAAUUGCCAUCAUUUAGUUGGGCAUUUUAACGAGACUGCCGGUGACAAACCGGAGGAAGGUGGGGAUGACGUCAAGUCCUCAUGGCCCUUAUGGGUAGGGCUUCACACGUCAUACAAUGGUCGGUACAAAGGGUUGCCAACCCGCGAGGGGGAGCCAAUCCCAGAAAGCCGAUCGUAGUCCGGAUUGCAGGCUGCAACUCGCCUGCAUGAAGUCGGAAUCGCUAGUAAUCGUGGAUCAGCAUGUCACGGUGAAUACGUUCCCGGGUCUUGUACACACCGCCCGUCACACCAUGGGAGCGGGUUCCGCCAGAAGUAGGUAGCCUAACCGCAAGGGGGGCGCUUACCACGGCGGGGUUCGUGACUGGGGUGAAGUCGAAACAAGGUA